rnacentral:antisense_RNA from 22 species
CGCUAUGGCGGCUGUGUGCGGGAGACCUUCGGGUCUGCCGGGGUUUGUCUUUUUGCCCGGUUCGCCAACCCUCGCACAGCUGCCACCCAU